GACAUUCAAUCGAUGAGCGUUGGUAACUCUAGAACUUAUUACAGUUACGGGCGGAAGGUGACCGUGUGUGAGCAUUCAGGCGGAGGAAUAUUUUCCAGUUCCCAAGUCCAUCCUGGAAGUUCACCGUGUUGUCAAAAAUCUUCGAAGGUUUUGUGGAAUCUUCAUGAAAAAUUUUGUGGCCUGUGUUUUUAAUCGCUGAUGUGGUAAAUGGAAGCUUGGCUAGAUGUCAAUACCCAUUAUCCAUGAGAAUAAGUAAGCUGCCUACGUGGUCAGAUUAAGAAGCAGGAAACUGUGGAGCAUGAAGUGCCUUAAAUUCCUAUAAAUCUGGAUACACUUGACAAGCAAAGGCUACUUAAACAGUUUUUCAUGAAGGCGAAAAAUGGCCAGUUAAUGACGGUGGAGAUUCCCCUCAACAUGUCAGUCCGCUGAAACUUCAAACGUUUUCUGCUUUCUGUUGAAGAUCUGGAGCUGCAACAUUUUCAGCCCUAUGAUGGAGAAAUGAAGUCACAAACGCUUUGCAGCUCGUCAUUCAUCUUAGUUUUCCAAAGAGGAAAAUAGACCACCAGAAACGCCAAUAUAAUUCAAUCAGUGGAAUGAAAGAAGUCUCGUCUGUGUGAUGUGAUCGUUUUACCAAGAUUUCAAGUAGGAUAUUGGCGUUGGUGAUUGGCCGUUCACUUAUAUUUCUAGGUCACAUCUUCAUAUUCCUCAUAAAAAUCGAGGUUUGUACCAUAGGAAAAGAAGUAUAUAUCAUGACUAUUUCAUUGUGAAACCCUUUUCCCCAGUACUUUUUAAUUUCUGCAUCAAUAUCUAGUUUGUAUUCGUAUAGAUAAGUACAUUUUGUAUAAAAACCACCAAGCCAUUAAGUUUAAGCGUAAGGAUAAUACAGUAGAAUUUUUUAUUAACACCAUUCAAGAAAUGAACAUAAAAUACAAUAAUUUUAUAUAGACACCAUUCAACACAGGAACGUAAAGUACAGUUACUAUAUGAACGCCAUUCAAGACAUGAACAUAUAGUACAGCAAUUUCAUGUAAAUGCUAUUCAGGACAUGAACGCAAAGUCAAAACCUCAUAUCGGUGCCAUUAAAGCAUAAAGUACAAUAAUUUGAUAUACACAUUCCAAACAUGAACGUAUAGUACAGUAUUUUUUUUUUAUAAAUGUUAUUCAAGAAAUGAACAUAAAGUACAUUAAUUGCAUAUAGAUGCCAUUCAAGACACGAAUGUAAAGUAGAAUAGUUUUAUAUAGCUGCCAUUUAAGAUAUGAACGAAAAGUGCAAAAGCUUUGUAUAGACUCCAUUCAAGACAUGAACGUAAAGUACAAUAACUUUUUAUGUAUAAACGCCAUUCAAGACAAACAUAUAGUACAGUAAUUUUAUACAAACUUUUCAAGAAACUAAUGUGAAGUACAAUGAUUUUAUGUAAAUGCCAUUCAAGAUACGAACACCAAGUACUAUAACUAUAUGAAAGCCGUUCAUAUAAACGCUAUUCAAGACACCGCCAAAUUAACGUCAAGCACAGUACUAAUUUAAUAAAAAGUCAUUCAAGACAUGAUCGUGAAGUAUAACAACUAUUAGACGCCAUUCAAGACAAACUCGGCAUUUCAUACAGACGCCAUUCAAGACUUUAACAAUGUACAAAAUAUAUUUAUAAACAGUUCUUCAGUGCAUGAUCAAUAUCUAAACUAGUGGAAUAUCCCACUCGGGUUGACAGUUGAAAAUUUUUUUCAUGCAAAUUACCACAAAGUAAUAAGUAUACACAGAUGAUUGCCUUGAUUUCCCUAUGGUACAGUAGCCACACGGUCCGUGAGUAGCCAUUACUCUAUUAUUCAUUAAAUGUAAUUACCGUUGAAUUGUCUUCAAUUCCCUAAAUAUUCUUGGCCUUUCCACUUCACCCAAACUUUUACAUCUCGCUGACAUUCUGGGCUCUUGAAUAUUUGGCUGUCGAGAGAGAUUUAUUUUUAUUAAAUGUACUUAUGUAUACGAAUAAAAGUUUUUAAUGCAGAAAGUAUAAGUUCUAGUGAAAAAACAAGUUUCAGGAUGAAGCUAUUUUCUGAUAAUGUACUUUUUUCAUAUGAUCCAGACGGUAUUUUUAUAGAAUGUAUGGAGGUGUGGACUGCAUGUGCUUGUAAUGUGUGAAUGGUUUAUCACCAAUGUCAACGUCUUUAGAACUUUGUUAAAUUACCACAUUAUGCUGGUGGCCAAUCUUUUCAUUCUACUAGUAUGUUAGUCAUUAUUAGUAGUUUAUGUGAAUUGAUCUGAAGGUGGUAUUGCUUCGGUCAUGUCUAGAUCGAGGUAAAAUUGUGUUGCAUACACCCAGGACCCACUGCGGACACAUGUUGCCAGGAGACUUCUGGGAAAACUUUUCGAGACAUGUAAAUCUUGAGAAAAUAAAACUAAGCAAUAUA